rnacentral:rRNA from 1 species
UUUGGUGAUAAUAAUCACAGUGGCAACACCUCUUCCCAUUCCGAACAGAGUCGUGAAACGCUGUGGUGCCGAUGGUAGUGGACGUCUCCGACGGCCGCAAGAGUAGGUAUCGCCAAAA